rnacentral:rRNA from 1 species
GAUGAACGCUAGCUACAGGCUUAACACAUGCAAGUCGAGGGGAAACGAUAUUGGAAGCUUGCUUCCGAUAGGCGUCGACCGGCGCACGGGUGAGUAACGCGUAUCCAACCUGCCCAUCACUUGGGGAUAACCUUGCGAAAGUAAGACUAAUACCCAAUGACGUCUCUAGAAGACAUCUGAAAGAGAUUAAAGAUUUAUCGGUGAUGGAUGGGGAUGCGUCUGAUUAGCUUGUUGGCGGGGUAACGGCCCACCAAGGCGACGAUCAGUAGGGGUUCUGAGAGGAAGGUCCCCCACAUUGGAACUGAGACACGGUCCAAAACUCCUACGGGAGGCAGCAGUGAGGAAUAUUGGUCAAUGGACGAGAGUCUGAACCAGCCAAGUAGCGUGCAGGAAGACGGGCCCUAUGGGUUGUAAACUGCUUUUAUAAGGGAAUAAAGUGAGUCUCGUGAGACUUUUUGCAUGUACCUUAUGAAUAAGGACCGGCUAAUUCCGUGCCAGCAGCCG